rnacentral:rRNA from 1 species
ACCUGCUCCAGAAUAGCUCUUGGAAACGGGUGGUAAUGCUGGAUGCUCCAACUUGACGCAUGUCUUGUUGGGAAAGUGUUUAGUGGCAUGGGAUGGGGUCGCGUCCUAUCAGCUUGUAGGCGGGGUGAUGGCCCACCUAGGCUUCGACGGGUAGCCGGCCUGAGAGGGCGGACGGCCACAUUGGGACUGAGAUACGGCCCAGACUCCUACGGGAGGCAGCAGCG